rnacentral:rRNA from 1 species
GAUGAACGCUGGCGGCGUGCUUAACACAUGCAAGUCGAACGGAAAGGCCCAAGCUUGCUUGGGUACUCGAGUGGCGGACGGGUGAGUAACACGUGGGUGAUCUGCCCUGCACUUCGGGAUAAGCCUGGGAAACUGGGUCUAAUACCGGAUAGGACCACUUCUUGGAUGUUGUGGUGGAAAGUUUUUUCGGUGUGGGAUGAGCUCGCGGCCUAUCAGCUUGUUGGUGGGGUAAUGGCCUACCAAGGCGUCGACGGGUAGCCGGCCUGAGAGGGUGUACGGCCACAUUGGGACUGAGAUGCGGCCCAGACUCCUACGGGAGGGAGCAGUGGGGAAUAUUGCACAAUGGGCGCAAGCCUGAUGCAGCGACGCCGCGUGGGGGAUGACGGCCUUCGGGUUGUAAACUCCUUUCGCUAGGGACGAAGCGUUUUGUGACGGUACCUGGAGAAGAAGCACCGGCUAACUACGUG